AUGGAGAAUAUCUCUUCUGUCAAGGACUCCAAGAUAAAUGAUCUUGAAGAAAAGCUGACAAUGAUGGAGAUGAAAAUGAAAGUGGAGGAGGAGAAAUAUGUAGAGAAAUAUCAAGAUGUGCUCAAGACUCUGAAGGAAUCUGAGGUCCAACAGGAAAUCAAGUGUCGUGCACAAUCACACCAUCUGCAAAAAGUUGAAAAACAGAUUGUCAGAUUACAAAAAAAUAUGGAAAUUCUGCAUGACACCCUCAAGAAAAAAGAAAAGACAGUCCACUGGUAUGAACAGCAGCUAAGUGCUAGUUUAGAGAGAGAGAAGAACUUGGAAAUAAUGAGAACACAGAUUGAACUUGAGUGGCAAAAAUGCUGUGAGAACAUGAAGACAGAACACAACCAUAUGAAUCAGCAGCUAAUUAAAGGACUGAUCCAGAAUAAAAACCAGGUCAGUGUCUAGUAUGUGUGUCUGUGUAUGCAUCUGUGUGUACAGUAGUGUUCUAUACUUAAUGGUUAAAGUUACACUAAUAAAAUUAUUUAAAGU
rnacentral:lncRNA from 1 species